rnacentral:lncRNA from 1 species
CAGAUUGAAAUGAAUGCACACUGAAAACUGGCCAAGGUCCCAGGGAAUGUUUGUGUCAGGGCUGGCCCAGCUCCAGGAACAAAAGGCACAGAGGGCUUUGGGUUUCGCGUCAUUUCCAGUAACAUGAAGGCCACACACCUUCAGUGUGGCAAUAAUAUAAAAACCCUCAGGUGCUCCAGUCAGCACAGGUCCUGGUGUUGUGGGCUAUCAGGAUCUGGCGCCUGUCCAGUGUCACCGUGAUUUCCUGGAUGGCUCUCAGGAGUUUCCCGCUUUCUCUAGCACUCUGGGAAGAUGAUACUGUAAAAUCAAGUAGAAGAAAAUAUGCCAUAUGGACAGCUAAUGGGUAAGAAUAAAGAAGACAACGUCCAAGGCCUACCUUAAAAAGGAGUCUAGCAGUAUGACCUGCCCUCACAAACGCUCUGAAGAAAAGCUUUUGUCCUUAACCUGAGAAGCUUGCUGUGGAUGGUUUUCCUGAUGCGAACUAGGCUGUUCUCGUCAGAGGAGGAACUCAGGUUCUCGCUGUCGCUGGGAAUGGCUGCUGUUUUCAUCAGAGCAGCUCUGAUCUUCACCGUGAGCAUCACUUCCUGGCCCCAGUGUGGAUCCCUCAGCCUGGUGGCACAAAUCCUUCAUCUCACCAGCAUAGGUUUUCUGGCUCCCACCACUGGCCUUUGGGCCUUCCGGGUGCAGAUUCUCAAUAUGGACAAGCAUGAGACAUUGCCAUGGGCUCUAGGCCACUAGCUGGACUCAUGGAGGACAUUGCCUUGGACUCUAAGCCUUUAGCUGGACUUAUGUGGGAAAUUGCUGGAUCCAGGCCGUUGGCUUGAUUCUUUUGGCCUCUAGUGUGUGGUUAAUGUCUUGCAUUCCUUUGCAUUUCACUUUUUGGGUAAUUACCAUCAAAUAAUCCUAUAAACUAUGUGUCCUGUAGUAAAUGUAUUAUCUUACCAAAACUCUGACUACAAUGACUUUAGAUUUUAAAUGUAAGGAAGUGUCACAGAAUCAGGCCCAUUCCUGAUUAUCCAAAGGCUCUAAAUGCUAUUUGUUCUGAGAAACAGAGGAGUGCUUGGCUGCUCUGUUAGGGAUUGAGACAGUGCCUGGGGAGGCGAGUAGUUUUCUCGACACAAUAGGCAGAAACAAGAAAGGAAUCAAGGGCCCUGACUCACUGUCUGGUGUUUACCAAAGGCAGACCACAUUACGAUGUUCAAAUUCAUGGCCAAAUACCUUCAAAUACAGCUAACCGCAGG